UACGGAGGAUGCGAGCGUUAUCCGGCUUUAUUGGGUUUAACGGGUGCGCAGGCGGUCUGUUAAGUCAGCGGUCCAAGCCCGGGGCUCAACCCCGGCCCGCCGUUGAAACUGGCAGUCUCGAGUUGGAGAGAAGUAUGCGGAAUGCGCGGUGUAGCGGUGAAAUGCAUAGAUAUAACUUAGAACCCCGAUAGCGAAGGCAGCUUACCAGACUGUUACUGACGCUGAAGCACGAGAGCGUGGGUAGCGAACAGG
rnacentral:rRNA from 1 species